rnacentral:rRNA from 1 species
AGAGUUUGAUCCUGGCUCAGGAUGAACGCUGGCGGCGCGCCUAACACAUGCAAGUCGAACGGCACCUAUCUUCGGAUAGAAGCGAGUGGCGAACGGCUGAGUAACACGUGGAGAACCUGCCCCCUCCCCCGGGAUAGCCGCCCGAAAGGACGGGUAAUACCGGAUACCCCGGGGUGCCGCAUGGCACCCCGGCUAAAGCCUCGACGGGAGGGGAUGGCUCCGCGGCCCAUCAGGUAGACGGCGGGGUGACGGCCCACCGUGCCGACAACGGGUAGCCGGGUUGAGAGACCGACCGGCCAGAUUGGGACUGAGACACGGCCCAGACUCCUACGGGAGGCAGCAGUGGGGAAUCUUGCGCAAUGGGGGGAACCCUGACGCAGCGACGCCGCGUGCGGGACGGAGGCCUUCGGGUCGUAAACCGCUUUCAGCAGGGAAGAGUCAAGACUGUACCUGCAGAAGAAGCCCCGGCUAACUACGUGCCAGCAGCCGCGGUAAUACGUAGGGGGCGAGCGUUAUCCGGAUUCAUUGGGCGUAAAGCGCGCGUAGGCGGCCCGGCAGGCCGGGGGUCGAAGCGGGGGGCCCAACCCCCCGAAGCCCCCGGAACCUCCGCGGCUUGGGUCCGGUAGGGGAGGGUGGAACACCCGGUGUAGCGGUGGAAUGCGCAGAUAUCGGGUGGAACACCGGUGGCGAAGGCGGCCCUCUGGGCCGAGACCGACGCUGAGGCGCGAAAGCUGGGGGAGCGAACAGGAUUAGAUACCCCUGGUAGUCCCAGCCGUAAACGAUGGACGCUAGGUGUGGGGGGACGAUCCCCCCGUGCCGCAGCCAACGCAUUUAAGCGUCCCGCCUGGGGAGUACGGCCGCAAGGCUAAAACUCAAAGGAAUUGACGGGGGCCCGCACAAGCAGCGGAGCAUGUGGCUUAAUUCGAAGCAACGCGAAGAACCUUACCAGGGCUUGACAUAUGGGUGAAGCGGGGGAGACCCCGUGGCCGAGAGGAGCCCAUACAGGUGGUGCAUGGCUGUCGUCAGCUCGUGUCGUGAGAUGUUGGGUUAAGUCCCGCAACGAGCGCAACCCCCGCCGCGUGUUGCCAUCGGGUGAUGCCGGGAACCCACGCGGGACCGCCGCCGUCAAGGCGGAGGAGGGCGGGGACGACGUCAAGUCAUCAUGCCCCUUAUGCCCUGGGCUGCACACGUGCUACAAUGGCCGGUACAGAGGGAUGCCACCCCGCGAGGGGGAGCGGAUCCCGGAAAGCCGGCCCCAGUUCGGAUUGGGGGCUGCAACCCGCCCCCAUGAAGUCGGAGUUGCUAGUAAUCGCGGAUCAGCAUGCCGCGGUGAAUGCGUUCCCGGGCCUUGCACACACCGCCCGUCA